UACGAAGGGUGCAAGCGUUAAUCGGAAUUACUGGGCGUAAAGCGUGUGUAGGCGGUGAGUUAAGUCUGUCGUGAAAUCCCCGGGCUCAACCUGGGAAUGGCGAUGGAUACUGGCUCGCUAGAGUGUGAUAGAGGAUGGUGGAAUUCCCGGUGUAGCGGUGAAAUGCGUAGAGAUCGGGAGGAACAUCAGUGACGAAGGCGGCCAUCUGGAUCAACACUGACGCUGAGGCACGAAAGCGUGGGGAG
rnacentral:rRNA from 1 species